UUUCCGUNGGUGAACCUGCGGAAGGAUCAUUG
rnacentral:rRNA from 2 species